ensembl:snoRNA
GCCCUGUUGUUGUUGGAGGCUGUUGUGUAGGUACAGAGUCCUAGUGAAUACAAUAAUAGGUCAGAGAACUCCCGUGAUUUAUGCAUGGUUGCUGUUUCUUCUCCCCAGCUGCCAUAGCCCGGUCAUUGGUACAUUA